rnacentral:rRNA from 1 species
AACGCUGGCGGCAGGCCUAACACAUGCAAGUCGAGCGCCCCGCAAGGGGAGCGGCAGACGGGAGAGUAACACGUGGGAACGUACCCUUCGGUUCGGAACAACCCAGGGAAACUUGGGCUAAUACCGGAUACGUCCGAAAGGAGAAAGAUUCAUCGCCGAAGGAUCGGCCCGCGUCUGAUUAGCUUGUUGGUGAGGUAACGGCUCACCAAGGCGACGAUCAGUAGCUGGUCUGAGAGGAUGAUCAGCCUCACUGGGACUGAGACACGGCCCAGACCCCUACGGGAGGCAGCAGUGGGGAAUAUUGGACAAUGGGCGCAAGCCUGAUCCAGCCAUGCCGCGUGGGUGAUGAAGGCCCUAGGGUUGUAAAGCCCUUUCGGCGGGGAAGAUAAUGACGGUACCCGCAGAAGAAGCCCCGGCUAACUUCGUGCCAGCAGCCGCGGUAAUACGAAGGGGGCUAGCGUUGCUCGGAAUCACUGGGCGUAAAGCGCACGUAGGCGGCUUUUUAAGUCAGGGGUGAAAUCCUGGAGCUCAACUCCAGAACUGCCUUUGAUACUGGGAAGCUGGAGUCCGGGAGAGGUGAGUGGAACUGCGAGUGUA